rnacentral:lncRNA from 1 species
CUCAAUGAACUAGGCUAAAUAAAUAUUGAUUCUCAAUGAACAAGACUAAAAUAAAUAUCGAAGAUACAUGUGAAAAAAAAAAAAAAUAUCAGAAGUAAACAUUGAUUCUCAACGAUCUAGGCUAAAAUUCUCCAACAAAAAUGACAAAAUUUCAACUCCUACAAGUCAAUGAAUCUGGUGCUAUUUAGCUACCAGCCAGAGAUGCUCUAGCAUGAGGCGGCGAAACCAUGGAUGCAAGAGUACUCGGACUGGAGGCAAGAAUGUCGACUGAGGUGCGUCCGGAGAUCCAAAAUCUUCAAAUGGCGAAAAGUAGUAGAUGGAAGUGCUGUCGGAGGAACGGUGUUCUUCCGAUUUCCAUACAGCCGGAGAUGGUGAGGCGUGGGUAGAGGUUUUGAAGGUGUGGAUUUUGUUUUCGCCGAAACGUAUUCUGUGG